UACGUAGGGUGCGAGCGUUAAUCGGAAUUACUGGGCGUAAAGCGUGCGCAGGCGGUUCGUUGUGUCGGUGGUGAAAUCCCCGGGCUUAACCUGGGAACUGCAUUUGUGACUGCACGGCUAGAGUGUGUCAGAGGGGGGUAGAAUUCCACGUGUAGCAGUGAAAUGCGUAGAUAUGUGGAGGAAUACCGAUGGCGAAGGCAGCCCCCUGGGAUAACACUGACGCUCAUGCACGAAAGCGUGGGGAGCAAACAGG
rnacentral:rRNA from 1 species